rnacentral:lncRNA from 1 species
GGGAAAAAAUAUAUUUACGUUCGUUCAAACAUGUCAAACGUUGUAUAGCAUAAAUCAUUAGGGCCUUUUUUAACCAGAACAUGAAUAAUAUUCAAGGUGGACGAAUGCAUACUCUUUUAUAACGUAUUGGAACGAGGGUACCCAACAUGAACUCGCGCGCCAGGUGUCUAAUGGGCCAUCAUCGUUCCAUGGCUCUUGUUCGGUCAGAUCUCCCUCCAGAAGACUCAAAACACUUUGUAAAGGCUGGUGACAUCUAGUGGAAGCAAUAGGAAGUGCCAAAAUAUUCCUCAGCCCCUGUGUUUUUCAAUGGCAUAGGUUUAACCUCUUGGGGCUAGGUGGGACGCUAGCGUGCCACCUGUGGUGCACUCCAUCAACAGCAGGUGCAUUUCAAGAGCGGCAAAUUUGAAUCCAAAUAAAUGGCAAAAUUCAAAUUUUUCAAAAAUACAACUAUGUUACACCAUUUGAAAGAUAAACAUCUCCUUAAUCUAACCACGUUUUACGAUUUCAAAAAGGUUUUACGGCGAAAGCAUAAAUUUAGAGUAUGUUAGGACAGUACAUUUACAAGAGUUGUGUGUAAUGUUUUGUCAAGUCAAAGACAGGGUCACCAAAACCAUAAAACCAGCUAAAAUGAUACACUAACCUUUUACAAUCUCCAUCAGAUGACACUCCUAGGACAUUAUGUUAGACAAUGCAUGC